rnacentral:rRNA from 1 species
UACGUAGGGUGCGAGCGUUACUCGGAAUUACUGGGCGUAAAGCGUGCGCAGGCGGUUUUGUAAGCCAGAUGUGAAAGCCCCGGGCUUAACCUGGGAAUGGCAUUUGGGACUGCAAGGCUUGAGUGCGGCAGAGGAGACUGGAAUUCCUGGUGUAGCAGUGAAAUGCGUAGAUAUCUGCAGGAACACCCGUGGCGAAGGCGGCUGACUGGAUCGCAACUGACACUGAGGAACGAAAGCUAGGGGAGCAAACAGG